rnacentral:lncRNA from 1 species
GUGAGGGGAGAGGAACCAUGAGCACUCGACCAGGAGAAACAAUAACAUUCUGGGCGUCCGGCAAUCAUUCCCUCGCCCAGGGAUCUGAGGGCCCAGACAGGGACUGUUUGACAGCAGAUUGGAAGAAGAUGGAGAAGGCUCCACACAGGAUCCGUCUUGAGAUGCCAGUGAUGACCAAACGAAUCACUCACUGCCUGGAUUGAGCCGCUAGGAACUUCUACCAUGUACACAGCAUAUUCUUCAAAAUCCGAUGGGAGUGGAUGGAGAGAUGGCACCAUAAGUAAAGUGUAUGCUA